GUUGGAUUUUCUUCAGGCAGAUCCUGAAGAGGACGGUCUGUCAAUUCUCAGUAAAAGUAUGAUCAUGAAACAAUUUGCUUAACCCAAUUUCCCCAAACCUAUGUAUUUUGUGGCUGUCAUGGCAAAGACUAUCAGAUUCCGUGUGAUAGGCUUCAGUGAAAUGAAACAUAACAACACCUCUCUUCCAUGCUCUGCAAAGAAGGUGUGCUGUUGUUUCCUGAAGCCUGCACACACGAUAACUGCCUUGUUUACCUAAGACCUGAUCAACCUAAUUACUGAGAUGGAAGCAAACAUAUCAUCCAUUCCUCUCCUCCAGCCCAUUUGAAUACAUUAUCCAUUUAUUUGGUGUUUGGCUCAGGUUUAAAUGAGUCAUUUAAUAACCCCUGUUCACAGCAAGUUAAGUUGCAACCAGCUGGCAGCCACAACUCACAGGGUUGUUAACCGUUCCAACCAGGAUCAGACCCCGAGCUCCAGCCUUCCUGAAGGGCAUGAGGCAGCUUUGCUCCAGCUAUCGUAGCAGGAGUUUCAAGCAAAUCUAUGCCUUAGAAUGUAAAAUACUAAGACUGAGCGCUAAGAUAAACUAUGGACCUUGGGUGAUUAUGAUGUGCCAAUAUAAAUUCAUUCUUGGUGAAAAAUGUUCUGAAGCAUUGCUGGGUAAAAGUCAAGGACAUCUUCUGGACUAAAAGAAAAGCCUUCCUUGUGGAACUAAUGACAUGACCGAAUUACACACGGAGUUAAGUGAUGGGAAAUAUUUCUCAAAGACUGACUUUAUGAAACUGCUAAUAAGUUGAUGUCUGUUUUCCAUUAAUGACCUGAAAAACAAGAAAAGCCUGUGGCAUUUCAAACAAAACUGUGUAAAUUACAGUAUUUCUGCUAUUUAAUGCAAAAGAGAAUUCCUUUUGGUUAUCACAUAUCUGUGAUUAAAAUAGGUUCUGAUCCUUUUUGAAGUGUGCAAAAUAUUUUUAGAAUUAUUUGCUGGGCAUUCUUUUGAAACUAAGAAAUGGGCUAAUAUACUGCAAUUAUUUAAGGCAGAUCACGAAGAAUAUAUUGUACAGGUAGAGAAAUUAAUUCUUAGCCUUGUUCCUCAUUUUAAGCUAGUCAUGCUAGUCUCUCUCUCUCUUUCUUUUUUUUUUAAUUUUUCAGUGGUUUUUAUUUUUAUUUUUUAAAUUUUUAAAUGAUUUUCAUUUUUUUCCAUUAUAGUUGGUUUACAGUGUUCUGUAAAUUUAAUGGAGAUAAGAUGUGUGGUAUUGUCCUAUAAGCUGAUUAAUAUUAUUGUUUGAUUAUCAUAGUGAUCGUGGUAUUACUUUAUAAAUACUAUUGUUUGACAUUGGAAAAAAUGUGGGCUGGGUUUUUAAUAUCAAUGACAUUUCUACCACUACACAUGCGUUUUCCUAUAUCCGUGGUUUCAAUAUAAGUGGUGUGUAAAUGCAAGAAUAAAAGAUGAUGUCGGGUUUGCAGGAGAUAGAAUUAAACUUGCCCGUGACUGGGGUGGGAAUGCAGCCCAGUUCUCUGCGGCAUGGCUUGCCACUCUGGGAAGCUCCAUCAUGGGAUUAGAGUGCUUUUUCGAUCUGUCCGAUGAGGGACUUUUAACUCACAGUGUCUAGAUAUUGCAAUGCCUUCUUCUCGUCACGGUUGCUAAAAACACACAGCCUUUUGUCAGGCUACAGAAUGUUUUAAUUCCCAAUGCAAAUCUGGGUGACAUGUUUGUUACGCUAACGGAUAUACCUGACAGAUCCUAUUUUGAGCUUUCCAGGAAAAAACACACGGCAGCACGUUUGUGGGAUAGCAAUCCUUUUAUGUGAGCAUAGCACGGCUGUUAGUAAUUGGGGUAAACCAUUUCAAACCGGAGUUGAUUUGAUAUAAAAAUAACUUGCAAGUUGUGUUUGUAUAAUUCCUAGGGUAAGAUCAUUUUAGCAGAUCUAGCUGUUAGUUAUAAGAACAGUUUUAUGGUUUGCACAAAGCAGUAAAUAACAGUAAGGGCAGAUCAGAAUAAAGCUUUCAUCACACCUUUGUCAACCUUUAGAAAUAUAUGCAUUGAGUUUUUGGGUUACUUACUCAUAUGUACACAAAAUGUGUAAAGAAUUAUGGUGCAUGCAUUCAAAGUGCCUAUAAAAACAGAACAAUUAUAUACACAUGUUUCUGCAACCAUAAGUCAUAGGUAUUCAUGAAAGUAUGCUGAAUUGUAUUUAAUAUUCAGUGCAAAAAUAGAUAUUAAGAAAGUUUUACAUGAGAUUUGAACUUCAUUCUUUAUUUAUAAUGAGAUACUUUGCCUUUAGCCACCAAAACAGGUUCAAAUUCUGGUCACUUGGAUGUGAGGAAACCUACCUGGAAUGAACCAUUGGUCACAGUAUUUAAUAAUGUUAUGGUUCUGAUUGUGGACACAGUGUCUCCAGGUAUAAAGUUCUUUGGGCCCAAGAGCAGAUUAUAGAUCACAUUACUCUGUGUCCCAAGAUUAUCCAUUUCUGUUUUUAGAAUUAGAGGAAAGGAAAAUAUGAGUUGUAGCUGGUUUUGAAACUUCUUAUUAAUUUUACUUAGUACCACCCCAAAGAUUUUAAAAACGUAUUUCUCAACUACCAAGUAUUGGUAUUUGCAGGGUUUCAGCAGUUUCCUAACUUCCUUUCUUUUUCCCACCCAUUGAAUCUUUAGCAUGCUUUGCUUUCAUACUUAUGUAAUGCCUUUAUUUUGAAUUCAUCAUAUUCCAUUUGGUAUUUAUUAUCUGAGGCUAUCCCAUGUACUUAAAAGUAGAAAGAACUAGAAGUAUGAAACUAGGUAAAAAUGGAUUAAAAAUGAGCAUAUAUCCCUUUAAUUUUUUUCACUGAAAGCAAAAGAAACAUAUUUAGAGCACUUUAAUCUUAUUUGAAUAAACUAUUGUAUUGCUUUAAUUAAUAUAUUCAAGCUUCUUUACUCAGAAGCAAAACUGUGAUAAAGUAUUCAACUUUCGCUUGCAGCCCUGACUGUGGCAAGCUAAAAAGAGCUUAUUUUGUUUCAAUCUGCAGGACACCAACAUCUGUUUUCUUCUUAAUAUAGCUAGGAGAAAGACUAAGCACCUUGCCUUAGUGCUAUAGGAGAGAAUAUUCUGAUACUGGAAACGCUUAUUGAAAGAGGAUGGUGCAUUGACUUGGAAUUGAAACGCUCUGUUUUAUUUUGAAUAUUUUCACUAUCUUAUAAGAUAUUAAGAUCUAUUGAAUUAUCCUGUCAAAUCAUUUGCCAUUGUGAAGAUUUGGGGAAUCAUUGAAGAAAUUGCCUUUUGAGUUUUUUUUUUUUUUUUAAUCUUUCUUUCUGAUUAUAAAGUACCUGCUGGAGGGCUCGGGUAUAUCUAGGUUAAUGUGUUUCUAUUUCAGUACCCAAAAAACAAAUGUGAGAUCUUGGAAGGGUCAUAUCCGCAUCCCAGUUGACAAUAAUUGCAUAGCAGUGAGUACCUGUGAGGAAGGUGUAGGCUCCCAGGGAGAGCAAGGGAGUGGGGGAUGGGAGGCUUUAAACAAAAACUUUAACUGUAAAAGAAACAAUUGUCCUCUGGGGAAUUACUCAGAAUGCAAUACAUGUAUAUUUUUUAAUUAAAUAGAUGAGUUUAUGCCUUUGGCACUUAAAAGAAAGUCCUUAGAUUCAUAGCCUCCUGGGUUAGAGGUACUUCACAGGUUAAUUCUAUGGAAAUUAAAUCUGGCCCUAUUCCUUGCUGUUUUAUUCCCUUUUUUCCUAUUCCCAUUCCUCUUUCACCCCCACAUUAUUUUCUUCCCUCUCCUUAUGAUUUGUCCACUUCUCUCCCUUCCUCAACUCUUCCACCUAUUGAAAUGGGACCAGUCCAACAUCUCCCUCCAUCUUUGCCCCACAGUCAGAAUGAAUUACUGCAAGCCCUUGUCCCCCCCCACCCACCAUUUCAGCCUCUUUCAUAUGUACAGCCCCUUCACUUUCAGCCCCUUUCAUAUGUACAGCUCUUAACUGUCAGCCGUGAAUUAUGGCUGGUUGAUCACACAACCAUCCCUCUGACUACACUGUGAGUAUCUUGAAGGCAAGAGUGCCAUUUGAUUCCUUCUAUUCACCAACAUCAUAUGCUUUUGCACAGAGUAGGCGCUCAGCAGAGAUUGAACUUAGUGUUCCCAGUAAAUCCUUAUCAACAAAUAAACAAACUCUGUGAAAAAUCAUCUUCCUUUUUCUUUUUAAAUUCACAGCCUUCCUCUUUUACUUUUGACUUUUUACACUGGCCUCCCCACCUCCUGUUUGCUCCCUGAGACACCCCCUAAAGUGCCACUACAGAGAGAAGUGGAGACCCGAGUUUGGAGUGGGUCGGCUAUGUACACUGCAGGCACUGUGGAACUCAUGCAUCUCUAGAAGGGAGCUGAAGAGAGACCAGGACUGAGAAAGAAAUUGGAUUGUUCUAACAAGCAAUCAUUGAGAAAUCAUUUUAAGACUUUGACAAUAAUUUCCCAGCGGUUGGUUGUCUGGAAAAGGGAAACAAAAAAGAGAGAAAGAAAUAGUGUUUUAUACUGAAUACCAAAUAAUUCCAUAUGACAAUGCAAAUCAGGUUUGAAUGCCAGAAGCGUAGAAAUUAAAGCCCACUCAGCCAUUAGGUUGUCUGUCUUGAUCAAGAAGGCGUGGAGAGUCGUUCCCUCGGAAAAGCAAAGCGAAAGAAAUGUAGGAGAAGAAUUUGAAGGUGAGAGGCUUAAAAUAAGAACAUCCUGCAGUUUGUUCCAAAUGAAAGCCACUGCAAGUUGGUAGCGCAGUGCUUAUGUAUCACUAAAAUGAGAUAAAGUAAACAAAAUGUUAGAUCAGGUCCUGCCUUUUAAUACUGAGGAGAUCUUCUUAUGCAAAGAUUAAAAGAAGGAGGCAUUACAGUCCUAAAGAGAAUGGCUUUAUGAAAUGGAUCACUUGGAAGUGUGGUUCACUGUGUGUGACACAUUGGCAUACAUACAUAAAACAAAUUGCUCUGAGUAUUGUAACAUGCAAUUCCAAGGUCUCCUGCUUCUGGCUUGUGUUUUACAUAAGUGGUUUCUUUGUACCUUUACUGGUGGGAAUUCAUUUAUAACUUACCGUGGUGGACUUUCUAACUGUCCUUUUUGAUGAACUGCUUUUCUUGAAAAAAAAUUUUUUUUUCUUGAAAUUUCUGUGUCAUGAAAGUCUUCUUCAAAUGCUGCAUAUUAUAACAGAAAAUUGUAUCAGGGAAGAAAGCUGGAGUCAAGGUUAGAUAAAGAAAACACAACCUUUCUACUUCUUCCUCAUAUAUUUCUUAAACUUUUUGAUAAUGGGAACCAGCUUAUUUUAUCAUAUUGUGAAAUCUGGGGUCAAGAGAAAAUUUACUGAGAAAAGUAAAUGGAAGCAUUCAAUUUCUAAAAACAUAAUGCAGUUUAGUAAGAGAUGUACAUUGAUCAGAGAUUGAGAGUUUGGCAAGACAUCAAGGCCAAGUUCAGAGAACCCAGUCUGACAUUAACUGUUGGCCAUUUUUAAGGUGCAUAAGGAGUCAUAUGCCAGCAUUCCAAUCUUGCCACCAGGUGCAGGGGAGCUACUGGGGAAGAAAGAAUCGGAAUUGGAGUGCUUCUCUCCCCUCCCCUGGGCAUUAGGGGUAGAAGAUCUCAGCUUUUGCAAAUGACCCCAACAUUGUUUUCCUUCCACAGCUGAUUUUGUUUAUACCUCUGCUUUAGCUUAUCUCUGAGCAAGGUUGGUGGCUCUGCACCUGCCUCUCAGUAAAUCCGAGGGACUCAGCUGAAAUCAAGGAAGCUUUAACAUUAUGGUAGACACUUUAAUAGACCAACAAGGCAAUAUAACAUCUUUACAGAGAUUCAGAGUGAUUCACCUUACAUAAGUCCCAUAAACAAGCCAUUUGCUACCAGGGCUGCGUCAGAUAUCUAUGUACCUCAUCUGAGAGGGGCCAAUUCAAGUUUCCCUUCUUCCCUGAAGCUUUCCCUGUUUCAUGAAGACACUCUAUUUCAUGAAAUUUCUCCUUGUACUGAAAGACUAUUGUGAUGUAUUUGUUUUCUGCCAUGUGUAAUUCAUUACAAAUAACCACAUAUUCUUCAUGUAGAGGUUUGACCUGCAUUGCUAGGGCAAAUCUCCCAGCACUCACUUGCUUGACUGCAGAGAAGAGGCACACAUUCUUAGGUGUAAAAACCAAAAGCACAAUUCUUAGGCAUGCAGAUAUUUAUUGAGCACCUACUAUAAAAUACACCGUAAGUUAUGUGCUGGGCAUGCAAAAGUGGCUAAAAACUUUGAAGAGCUUAUAGUUUAGUAGAGAGAACAUGUUUAUAAAUAAAGAAAAUAACCUUCUAAUCAAUGCAGUAUAGCUAGAAAUACACCCAGUGCCAGGGUGGCCGAGAAACAAGCCUGAUGAUUUCUACCCUGGACUCAGGAAAUGGUGUCAGGAAGUCUCCCUGAAGAUUCUUAUUUCUAGAUUCACUCCAAAGAAUGACAAGAAAUGUUAGUUAUUUUUUUAAUUGCAUAAGUAAAGAAAAAGACAUUCAAUGUAGAGCAGUAGAAGUGUGCAACAACAUAUAUUUGCUUUUAGAAACUAAAUAGACUUCCGAGUUUCGGGAAUGUAAUUAUAGAGAAUGGCACUAAUGGGAGGGGAAAAAACUAGGAGAUAAAGCUGAACAAACAAGCUAGAAAUACAAUCAUGACAGGUCUUGCAUGUCACACCGGGGAAAGAGCAGAUUAGAUUUAGCAAAGUCACAAUGAGAGUAGCAAGGGAGGACCAUUGAUAGGGAGGAAGGAUGCAUGGGUAUAGGAACCUUAGACGUCCUGACACCAGGAACCACGUGGUAUCCAAGGAGGUGGACCUCCAGGACUCUGUGUAACUCCUGGAAGCCCUGUGCUGUGGGAGCAGAGGGCAGUGAUUGACAUGCAGAGUCAGGAUCUCAUGUCAUCAAGGGAAUGAAAAAUGAUCUACGAUAAACUAUGAUUAUCAAGCUGGGGAAGUGUGUAAUAGAGUUUAGAAUGACAUCAAACAUGGAGGAUUAGAAACAGUGUUUUUUUUGUGCUUUAAGAUGUGUUAUAAAUGUUUAUAAAUGUAUGAAUCUUCUUAUUCUCUGACCAGGCCACCUAUAUUAGGCAUUAUUUUAUCUAGGCUAUUUUUUCAUAUCGGUUUUAGGCUAGGUUUUACCUUUUAGAAGUUAAGUUCCUAACUGACAGAUGGCUCACCUCAUGCUCCCAUACAUGUCCGAGGCCAAUGCUGUGAGUCUUGGAUAAAACUUUUAUGGCUGUUUUCAGACUGCGGUCCAGCACGUCUAUCCUGCCUUCUGGUUCUUUGCGGACUCAUGUAUGGGACAUUUCAGGUCAAUUACUGGAAACUUCUGUGACUUAUUCUAUAAGGAAUAAAUCCAUUAGAUAUACUAGUUAGUUCCUGGGAUGCUAACUAAAGGAAGAUGAUAUGAUUUGGGGAAAGACAAGGAGUGUCAGUUUAGGACCUAGAGAACCUUGGGUGUCAAUGCCAACCACCAGUCACUAGUGGGAUGGCCUCAGCCCAGAGACAAUCUUCACAAGCCUCAGUUUCCCUUUGUGUAAACAAAGAUAAGACAAGAGAUGCAGAGACUCUGCAGCAUCCCUAUAAUUAGCAGAAAUUAUUUCUAUAAAACGCACAGUGUUCUAUUUAUCAUGAGGUAGGCUUUCAACAAACAGUAGCCAUUGGUAUUUUAAAGUCACAGUUAAAAACAUUUUUUUUUUAACUAAAAAGUACAUGACAUGAUUUUGAGAUGAAUAAUAUUGAAAGUUGUUCACCACAUAUGACCCUAGAAUCACUGUUAUUAUUUUCCUUUUCACUGCUGAAUUUUGAUACCAAGGGCACUUCGUCUUUGCCCCAGGUGAACUGUCCCCUACAAUGUUCUGAAAUAAGAUAACAUAGAAUGCAUUUUAACUUUUGGGGGGAAUUUUUAGAUGUUUGAUUACAACAAGCUUGAUGUAAAGUGAAGAAAAGAAAGAAAAAGAGAGAAAGAAAGAUGGAAAGAAAGAAAGAAAGAAGAAAGGAAGGAAAGAAAGAAAGCAAGCAAGAAAGAAAGAAAAAGGAAGGAAGGGAACUAGCCGAUCAGCAAUUUAAAAUAUGACGAUGGAAACUAACACAGUAGAUUUCUUAGAACACAGAGGAACUGACAGACUGAAGGUCUGCAAGGGAAGGAAUUGACUGUCAAAUCAGUUCUCAGAAUAUGCAUUCUGCCGCAGCAUACUUAUUCUGAACACAUUUCUUAUCUUUAUUUUUAUGUUACACUUAGUACAGAUUUGGAAUUUCACCCCUCACCAUCCCUCUCUUUUGUUCUAAUCCUCCAUUUUCCUGUAGGAACACAGGGCACUGUUUGUGAGCAAGAUUUGUCACUUUUUUCUGAUCUCUCAUCAGUAAAAAUGCAUUUUUAUGUCCGUAUUUCCUGAAGAGGUUUUUGUUUUUUGGGUUUUUUUUUUUUUUUUUUUGACAUUGAUGAUUAAGAAAUGGCAAUAUGACGCCUGGGCUUCUUUUUCCUGGUCAAAAAGAGCAAAGUACAUAUUAGUAGUGACUGCCUAUUUUAAAUCCUUUUUUCUUUGUCUGUCGAGCUGUCUGUAAUCAUCAGAGUGGAAAAUAACUUUGAAAGCUCAAGCUCAGGUAAAAAAAAAAAUAAAAAGGAGCUUUAGUGCCUCAAUAUGGCAAAAAGGACUGGCAGUCAGGAGAGCUGCUUUUUUUGAAACAUAAGUUUUUACCCAGUGCCUGCCACGUUCUGCAAAAUGCAUAACCACGUAGUGUAAAUCCCAGAUGGGUCUGCUUGACCUGCAGCUUUUCCUGUAAAUUUUGUCACUUGGGUAGCUAAGGAGAGAGGAGGUUGGUCUUUAAGAGAGAGAAAGGGGAAAGAAAGAGAAGUGAAGAGAGGAGAAAUUUACUCCGAACCCAAAAGUCUGAAAGGCAAACCAGCUUGUGGCCUAGGUUGGACUCAAUUUCAUGAACAACUCAGGUCUGUGGGCCUCAGCAAACAUGCCCUGCUUAUUUUGUGCCCGAAUAAUGGUGCUUCACGUUUGCCCGGGUUUGCUUCUCUUCAGUUUCCCUUCAAUGAUGUCCAUUCUGUCCUCUGUGCCAGACACUGAAAAUACCUUAAAAUGCUUUUCAGGCUUUGAAAACUUUGUUUUUUUUUUUUUUAAUGCGUUGAACUUAAUCUUUUCCAGCUUCUUUUCUGUUAAGGUUGUGUGGCGGUUUCGGUUAUUUUUCUUUCUCUUUCUUUUCUCCUGCCACUGCAUUUGUAGACACACUGUCUCGUUGUCUUUCAGAUGUGAUGUAUUAUGCAUGUUCUUUCUAGUGGAUUGGGGUGGGAAGUGCCACAAAGAGCUGGUGAGCUCUGAGAGGUCAUAUCGUCUGAGGAACGCCCACUGAUGACAAUGCUGACGGACCACAAUGGAUGGAUGGGAGGGGGUUGGCAGGGGUGGGAUUCAGGAAAGAACAUUCAUGGGGUUUUUUUGGUUUUUUUUUUCACUCAGGAGGCUGAAUGAAGAGCAAUCUUUCUGUUUGUUAAAGUGAUGGGUAAUUUGGAGCACUUCCCUUUGCAUGAAGAAAUUUGCUAUUCUAAUCAAAACCUCGUCCUUUUCUACAAACCAUUAUAAGAUACUUAUGAAAAUAGGCAGAUUCAGAUUUCCUGUUUGAAUUUUUGUCAGCUUUCACUUUUAUGCUCAUUUGCAGAAUCACAUAACUAUGAAAGGCCAAUUAGCUCUAAGUCCCCAGAAAGUGACAGAAUAAAUUGCUUUCUUCCUAGCAAACCAAGAAUAAUAUUGUGGGUGCAGUGCAAAUACGUCCACCCAGAGAUUUCUGUUCAUUUUAUCAAUCUAAUAGAGUGUUUCCGGCCUGUCUUCUGUGACUCAUACUUUCAGUAUACACAGUCCUGUUGGAACUCUCUGAUAUAAUACUUGUCUACUUCAUACUAAGAAAGAGGAUGAACUUGUAAAUGUGAGCAGUGCCUUGGUCAAGAUGCUUAGUGUAGACUAGAUCUAUCACUCCAGUCAAAAUUUAUUUACAUUAAAUCUGGGAGUACAUAGAAUUCUCUUUAGCAGGGAUGAUGUCACCAACUGAAUGUCCCUUAUUUUGGCAUGGUGGGCAUUUGAUUUUUUUUUUUUUUCCCCACAGAGAGUGGCUAGGAUACUGUCACUGUUAAUUGCAAUAGCUAUGCAAAUAUGAAAAUAGACCAUAACGCAAUUGCAAUUUUCAAUCAAGCCAUCUCAAAAGAGAUGCAGCUGAUGAUGGCUUUUCUGAGAUACUGCUCCUACUGGACACACAUGGGUGAAAGUUGCCUCCUUUUUCCAUAUUUCUAUCUGUGACUGCUCUCCUUUUCUUGAACACUUUCCUCCCAAGUAGCCCCGAGCAACUCUACCAUGGCAGGGGAGCUCACAGUACCCCAAGGGGGAGAAAUACAAAUCUCUACAAUGUAAGGGAACCACUGGGAAGGGGCUAUCAUAGCAGAUCUCAAAAAAGAUCACCCCCAGUCACUGACAGGUCUAGGAGUCAUGGUAAGUUUGACCACUGAAGAGGCAAGGCAUGUCUCUUGCUUCGCACUCCCUGGGUUUUCACUGCAGAAAACCUUUGUUGCUUAUUCAUCUUUGCCAGGAGUAUUAUUCUUGUUGCCUCACAAAGGGGGACAGAAUAACAAGGGACUUGAUUUGGAAUUAGUGCGAAAUUAUUUUGUUUACUUGAGUCCAUUAGCUCUUACUGAAAAACAGUGAAUUGCUAAUCAUUCCUUGCUCACCUGUCACACCCCCAUUGAUAUACAUUUAUUCUGUAUUGUAUUCAAUCAGAGAUGUUAUAUUGAGUAACAUUUAUUUACAAUAUACCCGGGUACUUAGGCUGCAACCCAAUUUUUUUGUUAUGCAGUCGUUCGGGACAAUGGAUACAGGCUACUUGAGGAGUUUUGUUCUGGAUUCCCAUAGAGUCACAUACAACAUUUAUAUUAAUACCCAAUGAGUUCCACAUGAUUAGUGUCAUGACAAUGAAUUCCAAAGGGAUUAAUGAGGAUUUGCUACUUGUAGGAGACUGUUGCCAUGCAGAGAGCUCCAUUGUACAGUUCCAGGGUGGCCUUAUUUUUGUCAGAACUUUUGGAUUAGAGAUAUUCAAUAAAAACAUCUGUAAACUGUUAUAAGAUUUACAUUCUUCCCCCUGUUAGAGAGGACAUUGCUAACUCUACUGCACUACUGGGGCUCAUUUAAUCUAGCAGUCAUUUCAGCAAGCACUUCAUAAAAAACAAUUAUUGAAUUAAUUGUGAUGUUUCCCGUCCAGUAUUCAUUUAUGAUAUCCUCUCCACCUGUAAACUCCUCUCCCAGCUGCCUUGUAAGAGGUAAAACUGGAUAAUUUCACAGCCUAUAAAAUAUUUGUUCUUUUUGCUAACAUAAAAUCUCUGACAAGAACUCUACUGGUGGAGAAUAGAGUUCUAUUGAAUUCUAGUGUCAUUUCGUCCUGCUCAAGGGGAAUAAAGCCCUGUCAACCUACCAGGAGAUAAGUUCAUUCAAACCCUGUGCCUCCCCUUCAGCUGUCCUUCCUUGAAAGGACUCCUUCACAUACCCUCCCACAGAAAUGCAAAAAAUUCACUGAAUGUUUUCUUCCUUGAGUUAUUUUUAACUACAGCAGAAAAGAAAAAAGAAUACUCUGAAGCUUGAACAUGUUUAUAAAAAGGAGAAAAGUGUUUAAUCUUCCCAAAUUCUCACACUUUUUUUUUGGACUGGAGGUUCUGAGUUACGUCUGAGUUAUAUGAGUUAUAUUUUUGUUUGGUUUGUUUGUGUUAUUUCCAGAAACUUCACAAGGUUGAGCUGGGUACCUUCAUUUCUAAAGUUUAUAUUUAAGUAAUUUCCUAAGAUGUGGUUUUGUGGGAUGAAGUAAAAGAACCACCAAAAUGGAGCAGUCAGGUAGAGCAGUUUUGGAGCUGACAUGCCUGAAACUGGAGCACAAUGAGUUGAGGGGCAAACAAAUAAGAAUCUUCGUUUGAGUUCUAUGCAGUGGGGAGACUUGAGCCACUAGAGCAUAGCAUUAAGCAGCUCAGUAUUUUCAUGUCUGAGUUUUUCUCUCUUACCUCCAGACCCACAGAACAAUCACACAUCAGUUACGUAGCUACAAUAAAAGUACCAGUUAUUCGACAGUUGAAGGUGUAGAUUAAGCAUCCACUGAUCGUAAAGGCCCACAGUACUUUUUUAACAGCAUGAGUUGAAUAUAAAUAACUUGUUCCAAUGUAGAGGCUGGUUCUGAAGCUAAACAACACAUACUUAUGGAGGUCUGAUGGGGGAAAGUGUGUAUAUUAAACACACACACACACACACACACACACACACACACACACGAAGUUCCACCUGAAUAGAAUUGCAUUUGUAUUUCAAAAAAAUCUGAGGUAAUCUAAUACAUUGAGUACCUUUUGAAAAAAAUUAGUUUACAUUAACUUGUGGAAAACAGAUGGCCUAGUGAACAGCAUCCUUCAGGAAAUAGGACCCAUUACAAUAAAGGAGCUGGGGUCACAUGUAUUUUGGCCAACAACAGUUAUUGAUUCUAGUUGUAAUCCACAGACACAAUUUUCCUGUGUUGUAGAGGGCUAUGCGGAGGCAAGAUGGUGGAUCCCUCACACCAUUCCUGAUGAUGUGCAAUUAAGUUGUGGGGGUGAUAGUACUGUUUUGUACCUUUGUUGUGGUCAUGAUUAUACCAGUCUCUACAGGUGCUAAAACACAUAAAAUUGUACACCAAAAGGAAUCAGUUUUGCUAUAUGGAAAUUAAAAUAGUAAUAAAAAGAGUUAUAGUUAAGUUACAGUUUAGAAUAGCUCUGUUGCAUGUCAUAGAAGAACAAGAAAAGGGACUUGAUUGAUGGAUUAAUGUAUUAUUGUAUUAAAGUAAAAGCUGAGAGAAAAAAACCUCAUGUAAUGAGAUAUGGUAGAAACAAUGAUUAUGUUUUCAAAAAAGACAUUAAAAAUGACUAAAAAUUGAAUGUGUAAAGUUAUUUGUAAGGCUGUCCUAUCAGCUUCUGAAGAAAGCUGACUCCCCUGCCAGGUAUUCAUACUUCUUAUAAUAUGUUCCCAACUCAUCUUUCAGGAUGCAUCUCCCUCUGUAGCCUCAGCAAUUCAGAAGUCUCAAAUUUAUGAACAUUGACUGUUUAUAACUCAUUUGGCAGCAAAAGCUGAUCUGAACUGACAUGAGGCUAUUUAUGUCUUUUAUGUAUAUUACUGUACACAAAUAUUUGCACGUUUGAUGUAGAAAUACUAUUGUAUUUGAUUCCUAGGUGCUGCUCAGAACCUAUGGGUGAGUUUUGGUAUAAGUAUGUGAACUGCAUUCCUUUUUUAAAAUCUGGAAAAUCCUGAAUUUCAAAUGUAUCUGACUCCAGAGAUUUUCAAUAAAGGAUUAAGGGCCAUUUUCCAUAGACUGUUCUGAACCAAACACAGUCCUUCCUAUCACUUCAGACAUGUUUCACAUGUUUAUGCUUCAGCACUUUUAGUGAUCUUACUACCUGGGGAGUCUGGAUGUACAUUUCUCUUAACUCAGCCAUGUGGGAGCCAAGUUGACAUGCCACUGCCUCCAAGAAGACCAUCUGAGCUGGGCUUGCCAACUCAUUUCUUUUCUAAUUCUAAACCUCUUAUAUCUUCUAGGUUGUAAUUUUCAUGGGAGCACAGGCUACUUUGAUGAGCAGGGCACUCUAUGUGGUUAUCAUUUCAGCAGGGUUUACACAAAAGAUGCAGCUUCGUGACUAGUGUUGGGAUCAAAAAAAUCUCCGGAGCAAUGAUUAAGAUCACAGACACCUGGGCAAAGAUAGAAGCCAAAGCUCUUGAUUCAAGUUUAGAAAGAAAAAGUAUUGAAUUUGAGCAGUUACCAUGGGGCAUGGUAGGAAUAGGUUGGCAUAAGCAUGGUAAAAACAUGGUAAAGUUACCAUGGGGCAUGGUAGUCUUACUUGUAAUAAGACUAGCUACCAGACAUUAACCACUGAUUAAGUACCAGAGUCUCUGAAGACACUUUUGUCAUUAUUUCAUUAAGUUCUCACAUAUUGAGUAGUUAUUAAUAACUUCAUUUUACAGGUGAGCCCUUGACUAAUGUAGUAUAAUUAUUAGAAGCAAAGCCAAGGUUUGAACUGUCUCUCUAAUAUCCUAGUGCUUGUUCAUAACUGCAGUACUGCUUCUUCCAAUGAGGCAAAGAUAAAUGGAAGUGGGAAAUUAGGCCCCUGUGGGAUAGAUCCUAGACUUAGGAACUUGGGACAGCAUCAGCAUGCGUCUGUCCUGUGGCUAACUCUGAUCUUCUAUUUAGCACUCCAGUUUUUCCUAAUAAGCUCUGAAGCUUUAUGCCUCUCAAUACCUUAAAGUUGUCCUGUCCAUUAGGAUGGGUUUUACACCCCUUACUGAGGCAGCAAAUACACCUAAGACUACUCUCUGUAUGAUACUGUAGAAAAUAGAGUGAGAAGAAAGAUUAAGCCACACACGGGAGAUCUAGUGGAGACAGAAUACUUCAAAGCUUUGAAAUUUUCUGUGAGUUUUCUUCAGGACUGACCUCUUUUGGGGUCCUUUAACCUGAGAGGGACCAUAUCACAUUCAUUCUUGUCCCCAACACUAAAUAAUGCAGUGUCUUGAAUAUACCAGGAGAUAAAUAUUUAUGGAAUGAAUUCCUGUUAGCUGAGAUUGGUGGAACUGGACAGCUCAGUAGCAACAUAUUGUUGUUGAAGCCCAUUUCACAACACGAGGCAGUUUCCUCAUGUUCUAAGUGUUGGAGAUUUCAGAAUAAAGUUUAGUUAUUUUAAACUAUUCAAAAAAGAACAAAUACAUCUUAUUUAUUUAUUUAUUUAUUUAUUCCAUUGGACCAAAUGUCGGAAACCAUGUUAAUUUCCCCCAGCAUUAUUUUAUGGUUUCUGUAAACUGGAGGAUUUUUGAUGUAUUGGAUCCAAUGGGAGAGCCUCCCAAUAGUGCCCAUAAAAGGCCAACAUUCCAUAUUUUUCUUAAUUCAGCCUUUCAUUCUGAAUCAUAUCUGUGCAAUCAGCAACUUUCACUCCAGGAAAGGAGAUUGUGGAUGAAUUAAUGAGAACAGACUUAGCAUAGGUUUCCCUCAACAAUUUAUAGCAAGUAAAUUAAAGUCACCUGUUGGUCUAGCACGUUAGUGUGGCUGGCUCUUUGCUCAAACCCUUCAGGAUUAGUUUAAGCUCAGAGGGAUAAGUAGGCAUAAAUAAAAAUGUGUUUUUCCAUCUUUCACUCUACAAAGUUGUAGAAAUAGCUGAGAGGUUUUUUUUUUUUUCUAUCAUAUUUGACUUUUACUAUUCUUGAGGAGCAAGAAAAAGUAAAACAUAAAUGAAUGUGAAACUCCACUGCUUUUGCUCUCUUACCAGUAGACAUAUUCAAACAUAGGCUGUUCCAUUAUUAAUCAGUAAAUGGACAAUGGAAAAUUUUUAUUAUGUAACCAUAUAUUUUUUUACUCAGUUUUUAAGACCCUGACUUUGAAUCUCAUCUGACUUCUACUCUAGAGGCCAGCUAGAGAAAAUUCCUGGGUUCUCACAUUGGUUUUAACAACAAAUGAGUGAAGACACUUUAGUCAUCUCCUAGAAGGGACUAAGGCAGUUGAUUCUCUCAGCCUGUCUUUUAAGCAUCGCAGGUUACAUCAAGGCUCUCAGUGUUGUCUGGAGUGAUUGGAUUUCUGGUCAGAGACAUGGAACCUCAUCAGUGGAAGUAUCUGGAAUUGCACCGUGGCCCAUCUUUCAAAAUGGAACUACUGAAUCAUAAAUACUUGGAACUCUUGUUAAAAGUACCAAUUUUAGGGCUUUAACCCACACCUACAGUGUCAAAAUCUCCAUGGUUAAGGCCGAUAAAUUUAAUUUUAAUAAAUUUUCUAGGUAAUUCUGAUAAACAUCCAAGUUUAGGAUCAAUUGCUAGUUUAGACCAUAUUCCAUUUUUUCUGCAGAUAUUUACUAAGUCUGCAUGGCUAAUGGUCAACCAAAGUAUGGUCAAGUAAUCUGUUUUUGGACAGAGAUGAUCUGUGUAAGUCUCUAGUCUGUUCAAGGAACUGGGUAUUUAAUAUUUAAAUAGAAUACACUCAAAUCCACAUCUUGCAUGACUUGAGAAACCUUGCAUCCCCCACAAUGUCCUUGAGGAUAAUGGAAGGAUUUAUAUUUAGCCCAGUCUUCUAACCUCAAAUUUCCUGCUUUUAGUCCAUCUCCAUUUCAACUCUGUAUUUCUUUUCUUCUCUCCAGGAAACCAUUAUUCUACAUCUUGUCACUCCACAGAGGCCACUAUCCAAAUCAUCAUUUUUCAAAUUACCACUGACAAGUCUCUGAGUUAAUUCUGUCACUUUUUUAUUUUGUAAUACUCCACUUCCCCCCAAAAUAAAUUUUUACCUUGCUAUGUAAAACAUUUUAAUUUUCUAAAUCCUCAGAGGAUGGCCAGUGACAAGUGUACUGGUUGUGCACUGCACAACACUGGCAGAUGCCAUUCACUGUAGAGUUUAUGGGAAUGGUGGCACUAGGUGUGGAGCCAUUCUCAACCUCUUUGGAUAUAUAUAUAUAUAUAUAUAUAUAUAUAUAUAUAUAUAUAUAUACCUUUCCAGUAGUUUGCCCAUACACCCACAAUUAUUGUAUUUCUCAUACCAUGAUUUUUAAGCCUUUAUCACACAUUCUGAUUUGUCUAUGUCCCAAGAAAGACUGUGGCUAUUCAGUUUACAGAAGAUCUGAUGGAAAUCUCUUCUGAAGACUUAAAACCACACUGCUGCUGCCAUCAUUUUUGCAAUUUUAUUAUAGCCUUUUUUUGCAUUGUGCCUGCUGACUAUUUUAUUAUUGUAGGACUCUGUUAUGGAGUAGGAUAUGAUGCUUAUCUUUUAGGAAACAUCUUGGAGGUGGGCUCUUACAAAGGAUGGAGGUAUAUAGAGCAUACAGGCAAUUGCCUUACAGUGAACAGGAUUAGAAGUUGGUGGGUGGAUCCAGCAGUGAAAAUAUAUUUUGGCUUUCUUGUCUCCUGCUCUGCCAAAGCCUGCCAUCCUUAGGAGACUGAAGUUCAAGGUAGAAUCUGAACAAAAGUCAAUUGGUGGAACUGGAGACAAAGUAGAACCAAUAUAACAAGAGAUUAACUGUUCUAAAUAUUUGAGACAUUUAACCUGCAUUUGCAAAUUCAUCCUGUCUAAGGACAUGGUUGGUUCUAGAAAUGAAUUAAAAAAAAUUUUU